AAUUUCGACUAAAUUAGGUCUCCUUCACCCGUGCCUCAAAGCGUUCGCCGCCGCCGGAGAAAAUCCCCCCCACCCUUCUGUCCGCAAUCUUCCUCUCCCAAAUCUCCAUGGCCCGCCGCGCGCCACCACCCCGCCGUGCCCCUACCGGCCCUGCUUCGCUGCGUCGCCUCUUCUUUCCCUUCUCUACCACAUCGGUGACCAAGGCGGACCAUCUGGCGGUGGGCACGAUGUCCUCGCGCGGAUCUGACUGCCGCCACCACCGUUGCCUCCUCAACGCCACCUCGACCUCGAGCUCCUCCUCGACGCGGUUGUUCCCGACGAGCUCCUCCCUGACGGCCCCCUCCUCUCCUGCACCUCGAGCACUACGGCGAGGACAACGGCAUCCACCUCGCCGCUAGAUCAAGAUCGCAUCCACCACCUCGACUUCUCUCCAAAGGUUGACCAUGCUAGCAGUGGCAGAGCUUGAAAGAAAUCUAAGGAGGGGCAAAGAUAAAACAAAAAAUCAAAUACAAAAUCAUACGACUGUAAGGGAUGCAAGCGGACAGCGUCUGCAUAUCCGCGAAGCAAAAAUUGCACUAUCUUUGUUACUUUAACAACCAUGUUAGUUUUUCUGUUCGCAGAUGCUCACGAAUGCCGUCCACUUAAACAAGUUAGAUUUUGCAGAAUAUUGAGAACAUAGAUAAUUACAUUGAUCUUAUCCACAUUAGAUUACAAAAUACAUUUCUAACAUUAAUUAUAUAUAAGCUACUUUGUAACAAAUCAAACUGAACCAAAAUACUAAUUAAAUAUGAGCACUGAGUUAAUCACUAAAGAUCAGCUCUUUGUUUCCUUCCGCUCCUAAAUUGCCUAAGAAAUUCUUGGCUGUGAUUUUACCAUAGAUUAAGAUCGCAGGAGAAACGAUUUCGCGGCGGCCUCUCCCAGCAGCUAUUGCGGCCGCCAUAGCGGGCAAUCGCGGCAAAUAGCGGAAAUUUUUCUGGUGGGAGAGAUGAUUUUGGAGGGUUUUGCUGAUUUUUUAGCUAUUUAGAGGAUAUGUAGAGGAUUUCGCGGCAGCAGCCAUAGCUUAGCGGCGAGGCUCCCGGGCAGCUAUAGCGCAGCUAUCGCGGCUAUUUCGCGGGCUAUUUUAAUCUAUGGAUUUUACUCUCUGUGCUUAACUACCUUUUUGCUAUGACUUGGAAUGAUAUCCUUGGUAGUCGUCUCUCCUGCACUAACUUUUUGUUAACCUAAAACAUAUUUCCUGACUGAAUGUUUUCGUGAUUUAAAGGUACCAAGGAUUGUUUAGAGACUACAUUGUUGUUUUCUAGCUUGGAGAAGCAACAUCAACUUGGGAUGCAGAUUCACCAGUAUAUGUACAUGCGUCUCAUGGGGGGGGAGCUCUUGCACGGGUAUCCUUGAAACGAGCCAAGAACCACUAAAUUUGUGUGCUCAGGAACAUGCAGAUCAUGACCAUAAUGUCACUUUGGAUGCUUCUCCCCAAGAUUUGAAUCUGGAGCCUGACGCAGGUGUUGCAGGGACGGUUGGAUUUUUAUUGAUAAUGCAUUUGGAACUAACUCACUCAGCUUUGUCUCUCCUGGGAAGGCAACCUCUUGAGAGUUAAUGAUUUUGGGUACAUGUAUAGAUAGCAUGUUGUAACAAGUAUUUUUGAUACUCAGCGUGACCAACAUUGCUUGUACAUAUUGGUCAAGGUGUUCUACUUGCAAUAACUAACUUCAGCUAUAGGCUAUUUUUUUGAAUUUGGCUUUAAGUUGACCAUGUAUCUGAUGUAUGUGUUCAUUCAUUAUGAAUUUGAUGUGUA